ensembl:lncRNA
CCAUCAUGGCGGUGUGGUCGUUCGGUUUGUUUUCACACAGCAAGAAGAGACUUUGCUCUGAUUUUGUCAUUCUUGCUCCCAUCAGGAGAGGGCCCAUGUCCCUCCUUCCAGUGGAAGGCCAUUCUAGGAGGCAUCGUUGGGAUCAUCGGCCUCAUAUGCUUGAUCAUCUUUGUUUGGUGGUCAAAGUCGAUGUAUCGACAGCAGCAGCAGAGCCAACCAAGGGAUGAGAUGGUCGGUGAAAACCCAACAACUAAUGCCGAAGAAAACAUCCACUACGGCGAGAUCGAUUUCUCCCACUUGAGGCCUGGCCCGGCUUCUGGCUCGGCUCAGGAUCACCAACAGUCUCAGACAGCGGUGUACGCAGAGGUCAAAAUCAACAACCAGGAGGUCAACACGUCUGACAGCUCAGCUCAGACCGCCGAGGACCCCCAGCAGGUCUACGCUCAAGUGAAGAUUCACUGAAGUUUUUUUUUCCAUCUUGAGGACAAAAUAAGGGAAAACAGCCAGGAGAACAAUUUGAAUUUUCCAAUAUAUCACAAAAAGAUGAACCUCUAUUUAAAGAAAAAAACAAUAAUGCAGGAUCAGAAAACAAAUGGGAAGGAAAACUUCCAAUCAAAGAAUGAAGCAACCAGAAAAGAAAAAAAAAACAGAUUAGUAGUCACACAGAUGGAAAAAAGUUGAUAUUCUCGCCCGGCAUUUGAAAAAAAACCUCUGUACUCGUUUCCUUCUUACAGUUGUUCGAGGUGGUUCUUUGCUUGCUUUCACCUCUACGAGGUUACAGUGAAAUGAUUAAAGCUUGUUACAUGAAUUCACAGUGGAGUUGCAGCAGGAAGUUUCAAAUCAAAUAGAAUUGACUGGCUGUGUUAUAUAUAAAGUCCAGGUGGCUCCUUUUUUUUUUUUUUUUUUUUUUUUUUUAACUUUGGAAGAAAAAGAUGUUUCAAUAUCAAAAUUGUAAUACAAGUUGAGUUAUUGCAGAAGAUUCAACUCAUGUAUCAAUGCUGACAAAUGUACUAUUGCAAUAACAAAAGCUAUAUUGUGUAAAGAAAAUAUUUUUGUACAUAUUUCAGGAACUGUACUUUCUUACUUUUACUUCAGUACUAAUAAUACUAAUAAUAAUAAUAAUAAUUUAAAAAAAAUAUAGAAUUAGUACUUUUUCUCUGACCAAAGUCUAUUACUUUUAUAAAAAAAAAAAAAAAAAAACCUUUUGUCAGUUUAUCCUCUGGUCCUGUGGUGAUCGCACCCUGACCAUAUGUUUGAGUGUCUUUGAACAGUUUCCUGGCAGUAAUGCGUGAACAGCUGGCAUGAUUCAGGGGGUCUGGGUGCUUUUACCUGUGAUUCAGGCCGUCUGGCUGUUUUUCCUAAGACUGAUGACAUUUGCCUGUAAAAUCAGAAGUUUCUCACACAGACUGUACAAAAGUAAAAAUAUCAAAAACAGUUGCUAGAUGACAAAUCACUGUGGAUGGUAUACAAUUCUCUGAUUGUUCCAUAUCUGACCGACUGUGUUGAAAUUUGGAGAAAUGCCACUGAAACAAAGAUCCAGUCAGUGUUUCAGAACAGAGACAAAGGAAUGAUCCGUAAAAAAAUAAUAAAGCAGAGUUUGAAGAAACCCAUUAUUCAGCACUUAAAAUUAUUGAAAUUUCACGACUUAGUAUAGUUUGCUGUGGAUUUUGUAUAAAGCUCUGAAAGAAACUUUACUCCCCAAUGUUCAGAGCAGAUUGCAAUAAGUGAAAGUAACUCUAACUUUAGAGGAACCGAGAUCUUCAUAAAACCAAAAUCUGGACCAAAGUGAGGGAAAGUUGCAUUUUGGUAAAAAGGGGACCAGCUAUGGAAUAAUCUAAGGAAGCAAAACUUGAUUAAAAUGAGGGUAUUAUUAAAAUACAAAGAAAUGAUGAGGGAGAAUCACUGUGAUGUGAUGAAGUAACACUGAUAGAAGUGAGAGCGGCUGUGCAGGACUCUCAGACUUCACUGUCAUUUUGUUUGGUUGUUGUUCAGUGAAAAGGAUUGAGAUAAACAGCCAGAUGAUUUAAGUUUAUUCUUCUUUGUGCUUCAAGAAUUUGAAAUCUUUUUUUUCUGUAUUGUAAUGAAUUGGUUUUUUUUUUUCUUUUUAAAAUGACUGAAAUUAACUGAACUAAGCGAAACUCGAAAAAAAAGAAAGAAAGAAAAAAAAAAGAAAUUAAACUAUUCUGAGUUCAGGCUGGGCCACAACUGUUCUUCUCCGUAAAGACAGUCUGCUACGUGAAUCUUCUCCAUCAGCGGGUUUUAAACUCAGUAUCAGGGACGUCGAGUUCUCUGGAAACUUCCUGUGGCUUCAGCUGAAUGACGGCUCCCGUUAUGUUCUUUCAUUCUGUCAUCGUUCCCUCUCCUGUCAAUGUCUAGAAAAUAAAAA